GAUGAACGCUGGCGGCGUGCCUAAUACAUGCAAGUCGAGCGAACGGACGAGAAGCUUGCUUCUCUGAUGUUAGCGGCGGACGGGUGAGUAACACGUGGAUAACCUACCUAUAAGACUGGGAUAACUUCGGGAAACCGGAGCUAAUUCCGGAUAAUAUUUUGAACCGCAUGGUUCAAAAGUGAAAGACGGUCUUGCUGUCACUUAUAGAUGGAUCCGCGCUGCAUUAGCUAGUUGGUAAGGUAACGGCUUACCAAGGCAACGAUGCAUAGCCGACCUGAGAGAGUGAUCGGCCACACUGGAACUGAGACACGGUCCAGGCUCCUACGGGAGGCAGCAGUAGGGAAUCUUCCGCAAUGGGCGAAAGCCUGACGGAGCGACGCCGCGUGAGUGAUGAAGGUCUUCGGAUCGUAAAACUCUGUUAUUAGGGAAGAACAUAUGUGUAAGUAACUGUGCACAUCUUGACGGUACCUAAUCAGAAAGCCACGGCUAACUACGUG
rnacentral:rRNA from 1 species